AGUGAACGCUGGCGGUAGGCCUAACACAUGCAAGUCGAACGGCAGCACAGUAAGAGCUUGCUCUUACGGGUGGCGAGUGGCGGACGGGUGAGGAAUACAUCGUCAUCUACUUUUUCGUGGGGGAUAACGUAGGGAAACUUCCGCUAAUACCUCAUACGACCUACGGGUGAAAGCAUGGGAUCUUCGGACCUUGCGCGAUUGAAUGAGCCGAUGUCGGAUUAGCUAGUUGGCGGGGUAAAGGCCCACCAAGGCGACGAUCCGUAGCUGGUCUGAGAGGAUGAUCAGCCACACUGGAACUGAGACACGGUCCAGACUCCUACGGGAGGCAGCAGUGGGGAAUAUUGGACAAUGGGCGCAAGCCUGAUCCAGCCAUACCGCGUGGGUGAAGAAGGCCUUCGGGUUGUAAAGCCCUUUUGUUGGGAAAGAAAAGCAGCAGGUUAAUACCCCGCUGUUCUGACGGUACCCAAAGAAUAAGCACCGGCUAACUUCGUG
rnacentral:rRNA from 1 species